GGGAGUAUAGUAUAGCUUGGUAGUAUCGCGGGCUCCAGUUGCACAGGAAUGAAGACGAGUGGGUUUGCUGAAGUUGAUGACCAACUGGAGCGCCGACCUGUUGCAUCCUGCAGACCUUGCCCAUGAAAACUGGGUGGUUUCAGAAGAAAUCCGCUGGGGGGGGUUCAAAUCCCUCUGCUCCCA
rfam:Euryarchaeota archaeon TMED248 89703, whole genome shotgun sequence.